rnacentral:rRNA from 1 species
UACAGAGGUCCCAAGCGUUGUUCGGAUUCACUGGGCGUAAAGGGUGCGUAGGUGGCGAGGUAAGUCGGAUGUGAAAGCUCGGAGCUCAACUCCGAAAUGGCAUUGGAAACUACCUUGCUCGAGGGUUGGAGGGGGGACUGGAAUGCUUGGUGUAGCAGUGAAAUGCGUAGAUAUCAAGCGGAACACCAGUGGCGAAGGCGAGUCCCUGGACAACGACUGACACUGAGGCACGAAAGCUAGGGGAGCAAACAGG